GCGUGUAUGUUAAUCUUGUGCAUAUAUUUCACUUUCUGAGGGGGAACUCAUAUUAAGGGGGAGAUUUUUUACAUUAUUCUUCUUGCUUAUGAUAAAAAAGGGGGAGAAGAAUUAUAUUAAGGGAUAAUUAAUAAUUAAGGGGAGAAAUAAUUUUAAAUUGUGUAGGUACUGCUAACUCUGUGGCUGUUUUUUAGUUUGUGUGUGUUGCGGGUAAACCUGAGUUGCUUUUAAAAAGAGAAUUUUUGAUCAUCAUCAAAAAGGGGGAGAUUGUUACCAAUAAGGGAGUAUUGGUAAAACCUGAAUAUAAGUUUUGAUGAUGCUGUAACUUGUAGUUUUUGAAUGUAAUAGGAAAAUAC
rnacentral:lncRNA from 1 species